rnacentral:rRNA from 1 species
CUUUUAAGUACAACAUCGAUGUAAAACGUCUUUUGGGGAGAUAGAAUAUGGCUGUCUUGGGCGUCAGGGGCAAGGGGAGGCUGACGCGUCGAGCGGGUGCGAGCGAGCGGGGGAACAGCCGCUGCGGAGCGUCGAGGGGGUGCGACUCGGCGCCGCGGCGAGCGGGCGCGUUGAGGGGGCGGGUCAAGAGAGGAGGGAUGGGACUUUUAGGACGAAGGCGGCGCGGUGUCGAGGGGGCGCUUCGAGUUCCUUGCCGAAACGGGGAAGGAACUCAGGGAGCAGCGGUACCGAACGCAGGAGGAAGGAAGAGGUACCACUCGAGGAGGGACGACGGAGGUAGGUACAGGCGGUAGCUCGUCCUGUACCACCGCCGGUCUAGGUGCGGACGAGCAGUCCUCUGCCUGCGGUACCUCGACAAGUAGUUCCAGGAUGGAACCACUCACGACUGCGGUUCGUCCGCACGACGCGGCCACUCAGCGAGAUCUUCCUCGAACUCCUCUACCCACACGGCCACACAGUUCUAGACAGCGACCACACGACAUUCCUCAUCUUAAGACUUAAAUUCAACCUCUGUUGUAAAGACUUGGAACAAAAUAAGACUUAGUAAAUUCAACCUCAUGAAACUAACCUUUAAGCAUACCUGAAACUAACCUUUAAGAAGUGUUAGACUUAAAAGUCCAUAUUUUGACCCGAAAUGUGUUGACCCACAAAAGUCCAUGAGGUAGUCUCCUCGUCGAGAAGGUACCCCAGGUUGUCGCAAAGGUCAGUGUCCAUAUGCAUAAUAGACUUUGAUACAUGAGGAGGAACGCUGCUCGGUCUGCUGUGUUCGUUUCCGAGGGGGAACGUUCGAGCUGCCGUCGCCGACGACAGAAGAAGCGUCGUCAUGCUUCUCUAGAGUUAGAAUGAUUCUAGGACAAGCACCCGCCCAAUCACCGACAGCUGGUGUUGGUGGUGGUGGUCAUCGGCCGCCGGCUUAGCCCCCGCUUCACCUGGUCGCAACGCCGCCGCCCGCCGUCUUAACCCCCGUUUCACCUGGUCUCACCGCCGCCACCUGCCGCCUUAGUCCCCGUUUCACCUGGUCGCGUUGCCGCCACCCACCGCCUCCGGGACGAGCACCCACCCGCCGCCUCCAGGAGGACCCGCCUGAGCAGCCGCCACGUCCCGGACAACACCCACCGGAGGACCCGCCCGAGCAGCCGUCUCGUCCUGGACGAACCCGUUGCCCGCCGACCGGUACCGCGGCGCGCCCGCUGCCUGCCUCCUCCUUCUUGCUCUACCUCUGAAUAAACAGUCUCGAAAUCUUCAAAUUCCCGAAAAGACGUUUUUGUAGUAACAUGACACGCACGCUGUACUUAAAGUCCUGCUUCCCUCAUACACGAAUUAUUCCUUCCCGCCGACUUCUCAUACAAGACUACGCUAAACUUCAUAAGGUAAGCAAAAUUUUAUUCAUACAGUUGAAGCAUGAUUCAAUUCUGUAAAUAAAACAACCCUGCCUCUCUCAUACUGGGCUCGCCACCUAGUGGUGCUGCCAGUUCGUACGUGCAUC